rnacentral:piRNA from 1 species
UGAGAUCCACAGGUAAACCUAUCUGAAAA